AUUGAACGCUGGCGGCAGGCCUAACACAUGCAAGUCGAGCGGAUGAAGGGAGCUUGCUCCUGGAUUCAGCGGCGGACGGGUGGGUAAUGCCUAGGAAUCUGCCUGGUAGUGGGGGACGACGUUUCGAAAGGAACGCUAAUACCGCAUACGUACUACGGGAGAAAGCAGGGGACCUUCGGGCCUUGCGCUAUCAGAUGAGCCUAGGUCGGAUUAGCUAGUUGGUGAGGUAAUGGCUCACCAAGGCGAAGAUCCGUAACUGGUCUGAGAGGAUGAUCAGUCACACUGGAACUGAGACACGGUCCAGACUCCUACGGGAGGCAGCAGUGGGGAAUAUUGGACAAUGGGCGAAAGCCUGAUCCAGCCAUGCCGCGUGUGUGAAGAAGGUCUUCGGAUUGUAAAGCACUUUAAGUUGGGAGGAAGGGUUGUAGAUUAAUACUCUGCAAUUUUGACGUUACCGACAGAAUAAGCACCGGCUAACUCUGUGCCAGCCGCCGCCGUAAGAC
rnacentral:rRNA from 1 species